CAAAAUGCUCUACCUAAAUAUAACCAUUUUGAAUUAUGAAUAGAAGUAUAUGUUUUAUUCUUACUUGCAUUUUUAUUGCAUGUGUUUUCGGACAAGAACCGAAAAUUAUUGACAUUUGCUCCUUACCAAUUCAAACCGGGAAUUGUAAAGCAAGGUUCACCAGACAUUACUACAAUGGCUUGACUACACAUUGUGAAAAAUUCACGUACGGUGGAUGUGGAGGGAACCAGAAUAAUUUUGAGACUAUUUUCGAGUGUCGUAAAACUUGUGGCCAAACGAUGCCUUUAGAAAAGAUAGGCGUAGGAGUUCCUCUGAUGAAGAAACUAAUGACAUAAAAAAUGGUGGAAAUAUCCUGAUACUUUUAAAAAUUAUUUUAAAACCGCAAAAUGACUAUGUGAAGUAAAUCAGUUUCAUGAAGUUUUUUUAUUUCAAAAGGAGAUUGUUUGUUGUCAUUAUUGCAACAUGGCAAACCAAUAAAGGAUAUGCAUCAUUUUACGGAAUGUAUGUGUAUGAUUUGCGCAUAUUCAAUGUAUUGCUAAAUCGCAACUGCGAUGAUUACAAGGCGCAGAUGUACGCUCAUGCAUGAUUCACUUAUCAUUUUUCAGAAUUCAAUAAAUACAAAUGUACUACUGAAAAAGUUCAUUGUUAACUAUUCAAUUAUAGAUAUAAAUAAUGAAUGGUGAUA